rnacentral:rRNA from 1 species
ACUGACGCUAAAGCUCGAAGGUGCGGGUAUCGAACAGGAUUAGAUACCCUGGUAGUCCGCACGGUAAACGAUGGAUGCCCGCUGUUUGCGAUAUACUGUGAGCGGCCAAGAGAAAUCGUUAAGCAUCCCACCUGGGGAGUACGCCGGCAACGGUGAAACUCAAAGGAAUUGACGGGGGCCCGCACAAGCGGAGGAACAUGUGGUUUAAUUCGAUGAUACGCGAGGAACCUUACCCGGGCUUGAACUGCAGGCGAACGAUACAGAGAUGUUGAGGCCCUUCGGGGCGCCUGUGGAGGUGCUGCAUGGUUGUCGUCAGCUCGUGCCGUGAGGUGUCGGCUUAAGUGCCAUAACGAGCGCAACCCUUUCCAUUAGUUGCCAUCAGGUAAUGCUGGGCACUCUGGUGAUACUGCCACCGUAAGGUGUGAGGAAGGUGGGGAUGACGUCAAAUCAGCACGGCCCUUACGUCCGGGGCUACACACGUGUUACAAUGGGGGGUACAGAGAGUCGGAUGUACGCAAGUACAUUCUAAUCCUAAAAGCCUUCCUCAGUUCGGAUUGGGGUCUGCAACCCGACCCCAUGAAGCUGGAUUCGCUAGUAAUC